CGUGCCCUAACUCCGCCCGACUUGCGCCUUCCUCCCUAACCCGACGCCGAGCUCUUCAUCUUCGCCAACUCAACCGACGCUUCGCUUCUUCUUCUCCCACGGGUACAAAAGCCCUUGGCCAAGGAAGUUUGUGUCGAUUCCCUUUCCUCUCCCCCACUCUCCGCCGACUCGCCCCUCGCUCCUUCUCCAUCGCGAGCACCAUCUUUUUCCCCCGACGCGUCGAUCGUCGGAGUCGAUCGAUGGCUGGUCUCGUGCCCUAACCGUUCCUAUUCACCAUUGGCUGCUGUGAGCCGACGCCGGAGCAUAGGCGUCGUCGUUUACCCUCCGAGUCGUGCCCUAGCUUCCAUUGCAAUGUCGACUCCUGAUUGGCCGGUUUCCCUUUCUUCCUCGGCCAUUUUCCGCACGGUCUUUUCCCCCUCUCGGCCACAAGAAGGUGUAAGAUCCCUACAUGCGGCGACCCCAUCCCGUACCUAAUCGCCGGCCACAGUGUUCAUUCGAUUCGGCUCACUGAUCGUAGUUUCAAGACUGCAGAAUCUUGGCGAUCACUGUUUUUCCUCCUUGCCUGAUCACCAGCAACUGUCUCCCUAUCAAUAUCCUGGCCGUUGGUGAUCCCUGAGGGAUAGUGGCAACUAGGGGACAGAUCCACAACUGUCGGAGAGGGUUGAGCAGCGUCAUCCAGCUUCGGCCACCAAUUUCUAGCAUCAAACUUCUCCGAUAGUGGGUCAGCCAUAGCUUGAUUGAAUUUGGGUGAGUUUUUGGAUUGUUUUGAUGCAUUAUGUAGUAGAUUGAUAAUUAAAAGAAUGAAUUGGUUAGAAUUGAUUGAGGAGUCAAAUGAUGCAAUUAGGGUUUAUAAUUGGAUUGAGAUUACGUUAGUUUUUGGGGGGUAAGAUACGAUUUCUAAUCAGUACUAUGUUACACAACUUUGAUUCGAGACAUGCGUCUCAACGUGGAAUCUUUUGGAUACGAUCUU